ACGAAGAAAUUCCUACGCAAAAAUCCAACUUCUCCCAUCAAAGACGGAAGCAUUUAUUGUACUCUCAAAAAAUAAAAAUAGAAAAAGAAAAAAAGGCUGUCUUCAUUCAAUGAGUUUUGGCUGUUUUCAAGGAAAAGAGACACAGCUGUUUGGAUUAUGAGAUGUUUUCGCGCUUGUGCAAGAGUUCUCAUCGCUGGAAGGAAUUUGCAAUGGGGAGGUGAACAUUGAUGGUGACAGAAUGCAUUCGGAAUUGCUUCACGAAAGAAUAUCAGGAAAUUUCAAGUUGCGGAAAUUUCACAUUAGAUACACCUUUUAACAUUGGAAGGAUGCCCGACGAUGCUGCAUUAAUUUCUCAAAAUGAAGCAGAAGUUACAGCGGCUGAGCUGCAACAGAUGCAAAUGACUGUUAAGACCAGUGGUCGUGAUGAAGUGAAGGUCAUGCGGUGUCUCAGACGAGCGAGUACAGAUUAUGGGAUAUUUGAUAGUUGCUGCGAUGAAGAGUUAGAUCACGAUCAGUUUGAUAAGGUUAAAGACAGAAGACAAAAGCAAGCGGAAGGUCGAUCUCGCAGAUGUCAUGAGACAGAGAAUAGAUGAGGUAAAGAAGACAUUGGAGAUUCAGAGGAAGAAGAAUUUGGAACUUGAGUUGCAGAACAAACUGUCGAAGCUAAAAAAUCUUAGCGCUGAUGGUUUACCUCUACAAAGUCUCCAAGAAAAUCUUAGCUUAAUAGAUAAGACCUUGGAGAAGCUUCGUGACUGGAUUUCGACACAAUGUAAGGUUGCUAUAGGUUCAGUUCCUCAAGCAUAUGACACCCUAUGUAGCUCAUUGCCGUCUUCAGAUCCACAAAAUAUACAGCUGGACUACCCUCAAUCAUGCUUUUUCAACUCUCAGACAUUCAUUCCCUUUUCCCAAGAGAAUACCCUCAUAAUCCUUUGGAGUCGAUGACUUCUACCCAAAACAGCUACAUCAGUGACAUUUCUAGCUUCUCGUCCCGUGCCAGUCUUCCCAAUUAUGAUGCACUCUCAUCUGUUGUCCCUUCUCUUGAGGAUGAUGAGGCGGUACCAUUUUAUUUUCCACCCUAUGACUUCCAAUACCUUUUCCCAUCAGUAGGUCGGCCAGAAUCCCAUUCUCUCCUGAUUUACCCCGAUGAUGAUUUUCAUCACGAGUCUUCUUCUUCCCCUUCUACUCAGCACAUGGAUUCAUAUUUCUUCACUUCUUUUUCUUUGGAGAAUUUUGUCAGUCUGGGAAACGGUUUCAGGCAUGGUUUUUAUUAGGCCUGUCGCCCACGUGAUGCUCCGUGGCUCUUUUAUUGGGCAUUUUUUUUACCAGUCCCAUGUAAGCCAAUGAUACACGUAUAUAUGUAUUUGCAGCUAGUAGCCGAGAUGUUUUAUUAUUUCCUGUUCAAAGGGAUUAUUUACGUUCAAGUUAUGUACGAAAGAUCGGCAAAAGUGGGGUUUUUAAUGAAAUCAAGUGUUCUUUUUA